CAGCAGCCACGGGAAUACGUAGGUGGCAAGCGUUGUCCGGAAUUAUUGGGCGUAAAGGGCUCGCAGGCGGUUUCUUAAGUCUGAUGUGAAAGCCCCCGGCUCAACCGGGGAGGGUCAUUGGAAACUGGGAAACUUGAGUGCAGAAGAGGAGAGUGGAAUUCCACGUGUAGCGGUGAAAUGCGUAGAGAUGUGGAGGAACACCAGUGGCGAAGGCGACUCUCUGGUCUGUAACUGACGCUGAGGAGCGAAAGUGUGGGGAGCGAACAGGAUUAGAUACCCCAGUAGUCCCUGUCUCUUAUAC
rnacentral:rRNA from 1 species